AGUGAACGCUGGCGGUGGGCCUAACACAUGCAAGUCGAACGGCAGCACAGUAAGAGCUUGCUCUUACGGGUGGCGAGUGGCGGACAGGUGAGGAAUACAUCGGAAUCUACUUUUUCGUGGGGGAUAACGUAGGGAAACUUACGCUAAUACCGCAUACGACCUACGGGUGAAAGCAGGGGAUCUUCGGACCUUGCGCGAUUGAAUGAGCCGAUGUCGGAUUAGCUAGUUGGCGGGGUAAAGGCCCACCAAGGCGUCGAUCCGUAGCUGGUCUGAGAGGAUGAUCAGCCACACUGGAACUGAGACACGGUCCAGACUCCUACGGGAGGCAGCAGUGGGGAAUAUUGGACAAUGGGCGCAAGCCUGAUCCAGCCAUACCGCGUGGGUGAAGAAGGCCUUCGGGUUGUAAAGCCCUUUUGUUGGGAAAGAAAAGCAGCAGGUUAAUACCCCGCUGUUCUGACGGUACCCAAAGAAUAAGCACCGGCUAACUUCGUG
rnacentral:rRNA from 1 species